GCCAGCCGUGGGCUUUUUUGCUGGUUUAUGGUAUCAAGCGCAUCGAAGGCCGGACAUGGGCCGCUCCUAUUAGAGGCCGCCUUUGGAUUCAUGCCGCUAGUAAGAGGCUACAAUCAAAGCAAUGGAGGACUUCUACAGGGAAAUUUAUGCAGUGGAUGGAAUCACUGAUCUUAAAUUUCCAGGAACAUUAUCCAGUUUCAAGACUUUCAGGUAUUCAAGGUUUGGUACUUUUUGUGAUACACGUUCCUUGUGUGUGUGCACAAAUUUGGGGAUGUUAAGAUCAGUCAGAUAGCUGGAAAGAAAGGAUGAAAAUACCCAAAGGCACCCUUCCAUGUCAUGCUUAUACCAACUGGAUUUUGAGUCGGCUGGUUCAAGUUGUGUUGCUAAACAUAUUUGCUGUGAACCAAUUAUUAAGCGCAGGAAUAUGUAGUAUUUUGGAAACUUUUGCAGCUAAAGUUUGAAGUCUCGUUAUUCUAAGAUGUUUUGCUGAGGUUGUUUCUUUAGUUCCCUAUUUUGAGAGAUAGGGGGAUGGCAAAAUACUUCCAUAGUAAAACUUCUGUUCUGUAUAGCUUUUAUGACAUCACAUCACAUGCUUAUUCAUAUAUUUGUUUCAUAUUACACCCAAUUA